GCAUGGAGCCAAGUCUAAGAACUCCGGUGCAAGCCCAGGUUCCCUCACAGCAAUUCUAUCAGCCUUCACCUUCAGCUGCCUCAUACCAUUCAUAGGAUUCCCU